AAAGGUGCUUUGUAGAUUUUUAUUCAUUCGAACAUUUACCUUGGAAUUCUGAAUCCUCAUAAAUAAUACAUUCAGAGAAGUGGAGAAAGGCAAUGCGUUUUGAGUCAACACAAACUGACAGCAAGAUAAUGUAUUCUUUUGUCAUAAAAUAUUGAGAAAAUGGGAAGACAAUAACUGGUAUUAAUUACUGACAGGGUUUAAAUAUGCCAGUUAAGUAGGAAAUAAGGAGAUAUCUUGGUGAAUAUUGAAGAUGGGGGACUCAAGGAGAUUUCACCACCACCCAUCCUCGGCCUGUGGUCAAAGUGAAACUCUUCACAGAAAGCACUGGAGUUCUGGCCCUGGAAGAUAAAGAACUGGGAAGGGUGAUAUUAUACCCAACUUCUAAUAGCCCCAAAUCAGCUGAAUUACACCGAAUGGUAGUUCCAAAAAAUAGCCAGGAUUCUGACUUAAAAAUCAAACUGGCAGUGCGAAUGGAUAAACCAGCACAUAUGAAGCAUAGUGGAUAUCUGUAUGCCCUUGGACAGAAGGUUUGGAAAAGAUGGAAAAAACGUUACUUUGUUCUAGUUCAGGUU
rnacentral:sRNA from 1 species